CCAGGAGAAGAAGAAGAAGGCAAUUGAUGGCUGCCUCUUUGCCCUCAUGAUAAUAUACUUUCAUUUUUCUGAAAACAAAGGCAAGAAGAGGGCCGAAAGACCACCAAAGCCUUGGAUUGCCAAUUGGACUAAGGAGAAGUUGGUGGAAAGAAUGACUGCAGAAAAAGAAGAAAUUUUGGGUAUUGUGAAGAUGGCGGAGACAAGAGCAAGAGAAAAAAUGAAAGAAAAAGAAAAAAAAGAAAAAAAACAAGAAAUCA